CACUGUCACUCCUACGGGGAGCAGCAGUGGGGAAUAUUGCACAAUGGGCGCAAGCCUGAUGCAGCCAUGCCGCGUGUGUGAAGAAGGCCUUCGGGUUGUAAAGCACUUUCAGUCGUGAGGAAGGCGGGUACGUUAAUAGCGUAUUCGUUUGACGUUAGCGACAGAAGAAGCACCGGCUAACUCCGUGCCAGCAGCCGCGGUAAUACGGAGGGUGCGAGCGUUAAUCGGAAUUACUGGGCGUAAAGCGCAUGCAGGUGGUUUGUUAAGUCAGAUGUGAAAGCCCGGGGCUCAACCUCGGAAUAGCAUUUGAAACUAGGCAGACUAGAGUACUGUAGAGGGGGGUAGGAAUUUCAGGUGUAGCGGUGAAAUGCGUAGAGAUCUGAAGGAAUACCGGUGGCGAAGGCGGCCCCCUGGACAGAUACUGACACUCAGAUGCGAAAGCGUGGGGAGCAAACAGGAUUAGAUACCCUGGUAG
rnacentral:rRNA from 1 species